UUUUUCCGUAGGUGAAACCUUGCGGAGGGAUCAUUAC
rnacentral:rRNA from 1 species